AUUGAACGCUGGCGGAAUGCUUUACACAUGCAAGUCGAACGGCAGCACGGACUUCGGUCUGGUGGCGAGUGGCGAACGGGUGAGUAAUACAUCGGAACGUGCCCAGUCGUGGGGGAUAACGUAGCGAAAGCUACGCUAAUACCGCAUACGGUCUAAGGAUGAAAGCGGGGGAUCGCAAGACCUCGCGCGAUUGGAGCGGCCGAUGGCAGAUUAGGUAGUUGGUAGGGUAAAGGCCUACCAAGCCGACGAUCUGUAGCUGGUCUGAGAGGAUGAUAAGCCACACUGGGACUGGGAAAAGGCCAAGACUCCUACGGGAGGCAGCAGCGGGGAAUUUUGGACAAUGGGCGUAAGCCUGAUCCAGCCAUUCCGCGUGCAGGAUGAAGGCCUUCGGGUUGUAAACUGCUUUUGUACAGAACGAAAAGGCUCUGGUUAAUACCCGGGGCUCAUGACGGUACUGUAAGAAUAAGCACCGGCUAACUACGUGCCAGCCGCCGCUGUAA
rnacentral:rRNA from 1 species